ACCGAAUAAGACCGAGUCUUACGUCAACAGACCAGUUUAGAAUGUGCCGGGCCGUUGUUAUGCAUACCAUAACAAAAAAGGCAGGAAUACUGAGGCAGCUACGACGUGGAUGUCUACAUCUUCUUUAAGAUGCAGGCCCCAAAGACGUCCCAGUGUGAUGCAAAGGCUGUCCAGCAGGCUCACAGACAUCUCCUGUCAACUGAAAGAGAAGCCUUUAAAA